CUAACUGGCUAAUAUUUUGCAGUUUUAGCUAGCCAAUGCUAACGCUAGCUAACUAGGUUAUCUAACUAAGCUAAUGUUUUUAGCUAAUGUUAGUUAGCUAGCUGACUAGUUAGCUAACUAUCUAGCUAGUGCUCGCUAUCAGUCUAACCUAGUUAGUUAAUGCUAGGUAGGUUAUGUUAGUUAUCUAACAAAUACAAUUAGUUUGUGAAUAAUACAAAAGGGUCUUCAAAAAUAUGAGUUGGAGAUUGUCAAAUGCUGGCGUGUUAAGUGUUUUUAUCAGCAGGGUGAAGAAAGCUUUGAUUCACUUCAAGGGCUGGUGUUAUCACUGCAGAUUGAAAUGCUCUCUCUGUCCCUCUCUCUAAAGGAGUUCUGUGACAGGGAUACAUAAUCAGCCACUGGCAGAGCUUUCAUUAAAACCUUCAGGAAUAAUGUCGACUUCUUCAUCGGAUCUGUCCGGUUCGUCGGUUGACGCAAAGGUGAGCACCAACGAUACUACUGCAGACGAGCAGGAGGAACGAUUAACCCCUGGCGAUCAGCACACAGACAGACAGAGGUAAAUGGAAAUGCCUGAAUGGAAAUCAUCAUACUUUAUGUGGCAAUAACGAGGCCCUGAUUCCGGGAUCAAGUUAGCCACUGCUCAAGGUCCAUUGUUUCAAGGCUGAGUGGUCUUUGCAGCAAUAAGAGCAAGAGUAACCCCCCCCCUCAACCACCACACAACCCUUCCAUGUCUCACCGUCGCUGGUCUCCCCCAGCUCCAGCCUUCAGAGCUAAUUAGUUUCAGAGGGAAUGGGAAAGGGGGCUCCAACCAAGCCCUUCCCCAGCACAGCAACCAAGUGUAGAGGAGAUGCAUUAGUGAGACAAAUACGGGGGAAGGCUCAGCCCCGCUGUAAAACUGCGGGAACUACUGUCGCGGAGAUGCAUUUUGGGGGGUUACGCACAACAUCAAAAAGCAUCAGAUCCCACCGUCUGGAAAAUGGGAUCGGACACGGCAGUCCGUUUUAAUCUCCAGCAGGUGAAACUUUUCCAUGUGUGGUAUCCCUGAGCCACAUCCUCUUCCAUGUGCAAAGAUGUCUCUUUUCUGAUUUAAUAGAUGCACCCAGUUUUCCACCUUUACUGUAAGUUGAGGAGAUCUAGUUUACGUCUGAAUGCAGAGAUAACUCAUGUUUUUUGGUAAAAUGUGUUGUUGCACUAUUAAAAAAACAAACAAAAAAAUAAAUGAUGAAAUGCGUUCUUUGGAGCAGUGCCAAAGAAGACCUAUUUUUGGAUCUCUAAAGAACCCUGUGACAAUGCAUAUUGUUUUAGCUUUAUCGUAAUAUGGGUAUGCACAAUAUUCAUAUUACAGAUGGCAUAUUAGAGUUUAUUAAUGGUUGGAUCCAUGUCAAAAUAUAGUUUGAAUUUUAAAAAAUCAUCAAUAUUAAUAUUAUGUCUUUGUUUUAGCGUCUUACUUUUCAACAUUUAAUAAACAACAGAUAGGGUUGCCUU